rnacentral:tRNA from 1 species
UUACUUUGGCAGAAUAGUGUAAUGAAUUUAGAAUUCAUAAAUGUAUUAAUUAUACAAGUAAUAA